GUCUCUCUCCGUAGGUAUGACUUCGGCUUCAUGCGAAUAGAGGAAGUGUGGAAAUGUAAUUUCGGUUGCCAAGCUUGGUUUGCGGUGAUUAUUGCAAUUUUCUGUUUGCUCCUUAAUGUCGGGCACACUUUCUCUCAGUUUUUUACUUUUAAGUGAUGUGCACAGCUGUUGAGCCCUCUGUCAAAAAUUUUUUUUACAACAUUGCGAUAUACUGAUGGCAGUAUUAUAGUGUUUUUUUAGUGUCAAAGGUAAUAUUUAUAAUCACUAGCUGUCGAGAUUGGCACUUAUUUCUUUACAGGUGGAGUGCAAACAGUCCAGCACAGAAAUUUCACAUAUGAGGGGUCCAUUCUUUAGAUAUGCAGCUCAUAAGGGGGCAUAGAAUCAACUGAAAGGCCUAACUCCCAACUGCCGGCAAUUUUGUCUUAUUGGCCACCACAGACCACAGCCUUUACACCUUUGGACACCACAAAGAAAGCUUCACUAGACAUGGCCUCCCAACCGCAGCCAGUUUUGUCCCGCUGGCACUGUAGAAUGUAGGCCAUUCAUGAAAGUCCUGAAAUUUAUGUCCUACUGAAAAUUCAGCAUUUCUUCACAAUGUGUGAUAUACAGUGAAUAAAAUGAAGCAUCAAGCCCAUUCUAGUACAUAAACACAGGCAUUGCAAGUAUACUCAAGUAACUGUUUAAUUAGAACAUCGUGGAAAUCAAAAUUUUUGCAGCCAUAUAGCUCUUUUAUCAUUUGAAGACUUGCAUUUUCAGUUCUACAUGAGUGGUGGAAGAACCCCUUACAGCAAUUAUAAAUGAAAAAAAGAAUUGCUUCACCUUACAUUAAUUUUGAUGUUAAUUUAUACAAAGGAACAUGCAUAUUAAUUGGAAAAAUUGGUAUAAGGUGAAAGUAAACUUGUCAUAGGAAAUCUGGCAUUGAAAAAUUGUCAACAGCUAUGUGCAUUAAUUCUAGGGCGCCACGUGUUACUUGCUUUUGAUUGAUUGACAGCUUGCUUUAUGAGGCCUGGAGGACGGCGUAGAAGAGGAGGUUCCAAAUAUGUGCUUCUACGUCUGUGGCUUAGACUUAGUCUGAAAUAAAGCAGAAGACAGCACAUUCUUUGAAAUGGGCUUGAGGCAGUGAUGUUCUGAAUGAGCAUAACAGAAUGCUUGGUUGCAAUUUUUAUUAAGCCCUGAAUCAUGUUCUGAAGAGAGCUCAUGUCACGAUGUUGUAAUAUGUACAGACAGAGCUAGUUGUGUGCUUGGAAAGGCUGAACAAAAAAAAUGCUUUUUCUCGAGUGGUGCAUGCUGCAUUGGGCUGUAUUUUUUUUGUUUGUUUUGUCCAAAUAGUAUUAUGUGCACACAACAACUGUUUUUUUAUUCCUUUUCAUGGCCAAUGGAUACAGGGUGUCUUCCUAGCCUUUCCUCUGUUGAUCGUUAUGUGGCUUUUUUGCCUUCGCUUAGUUGUGUGUUGUUGCAGUGCUAUUUAGCGUUCAAACGAAUGUAGUGUGCUUCACAGUAGCCUGCAAGUUUAUCAAGUUUUAUGAAUUAUUGCAUUUUUUAGGGCUACAUUUUUUAGUUACGCCUAUCUUUAAUUUUUAUUUCAUGCAGUGGUAUCUCUUUUCAAGGCUCCCGUGAUUUUCUGCCUGCACUUACAUGUAGGGUGGUGCACUUUUUUUUUUUUUUUCAUGCGGUAUCAGGGUACAUUUGUAUACUGAAAAAUUUAUGUUCUCUAGAACUUUUUUUUUUAGUGCUGAUGUAAUGUUCACAUGCCUGCGUUCCUAUGUAUGUGUUCACCUUUGCUUCUGGGCAAGGUAGGAGAGGUCUAGUAUAGGAAAACAAUAUAAUUAUUUUCGUAUUUUACAUUGAAGUUGUAGUUUUAACUUAUUUCAGGGACACAGGGUGUUUUAUUAAUUAUUAUUAUUAUUAUAUUAUCAUCAUUAUUAUUAAUAUUAUUAUUGUAGUUGUAUCACUAUAUGUCCCCUUCAGUUGCUAAGUCUACAACUGUAGACGUCAAAAUAAUGCCUGGGAAUCACAAGCACUAAUAAAAAAUGACAGCAUUUAAGACAAGCUGGAUACAUCUUAGGGCACUUCUUGUCCAACCUAUGCCACAAAAUCAUUUAACGUGCACUUAACGUGCUCAUGGUGAAGCUGUGUCAGGCCGAGUGGCCUUUAGCUUCACCUCGAGUUUCUGUAUCUGGUCAUGCCAUGGGUUCUCUUCAGUAAUUUUUAUGGUAACAGAUUAUAUCAGGCAAAUUUCUUAAAUGAAUGGGUGUUUUCCAAGAAAGCUGAACAUGACUAUUUUGCUGCCAUGUAAAUGUUUUCAGACUUCAAGCGUGGAGUCCACAUUUGUGGGCACGAUGAAACCUUUUAAGUAAAUCCAGAUGUUUAGCCUGUUCUGGUGAUGCAUUCUCUUCAUAAUGCUGGAAAUGCAAGAAAUGCGUUGGAACUAAAUUUCCAGCUGACAAAAUUUACUGGCAACUGAAGGGGAUGUUUUAGCUUCUUUUCUUUUGGAGUUGGUGUUUCUGUGUGGGUCCUUGUUCAUGUGCUUGUCAGCUGUGACUUCAUUGUCUUUCCUUAGCCCACUAUUUAAUCAAUUGAUAGGAAGGAGCUUCCGGCACGUUUAUCUUGCUUUGCUUGAAAGGUCACUACACAUGAGUUUGUUCAUUUCACAGGCAACUCUUGAAGGGCACAUGGCACAUUUUGGCAGAUUUUACUGCAUCUACAAAAAUAGCAAGGCUCAAUGUGUUAGAGCUCGUAUCAAAGUGCUGUUCUCUGUAUCUAAUUGUCAUGUAGUGCUUCGUUGAGUUCGCUGCUUUAGGUAUUCUCCCUUCACUGUUAUCUCACAUUGGACUAAUUGCUCUCUUUCUGGUUAUUACAUCCUCUAGGCACAGAUUGCAUUGGAAAUGUAUCUCUUUUUUUUUUUUGAAAGACCUCAUUUUGUAUCUGUUUAGAGCUCCUGAUUUUCAUCUUACAGAUAUCCUUUGAUGAUCUUCUUGUAUUAUUUUUCUUGCACUUGUCCUUCUUUUAGUUUUUACAAUGAUGGAGUGUGCACAAGUUGAGCUAGAUAGAUAACAUCGUCCAGAAUGUCAUAUGAUCUUGCACUGCAGUUGCUCGGCGUGUUAUGCUAGAAACAAAAAUACUCUUUUCUCCGUCUGAGAGGUCAGUCUAACAAAGCAACAGCAGAGAAGCAACAAACCAAAAUAAAUUCUGAUAUCAGGAUAAAUCUUUAGAAAGCCACUUAAGUGCAUUACAAUGGAGACUUUGCUGUAGUUUGCAUGUAACAUAGUUUCCUCUAAAGCUGUUAAAGCACAUUUUGUGCCAAAAGCUCCCAAAUAGGUGCCUGUGAGACACUUUGUGCUUCCUGUCAUGGCUUUCACCUGCAGAUUCACACAAAUGUAGCGUUUUGUCAUGUUUUUCAGACAAUACUGCACCUGGUCUAUGCAACUGGACACAAUUAUUUUUUAUGUACCGCAAUCGCUGCUACAUUUAGGACUGGUUCAAUGCGGAUGGUAUGUGCAUUAGGAAGGACAAUGCACUGCCUUAAACUUGGCAUAAUCAAGGGCCAGUAUUUAUUAUGGUGUGCAAGCACCAUUGAUGCAGUGAGCUCUGGUUCAAUGCUCUUCAUUGAGAUUCUGCAGAAUUUCAUUGGGCUGAUUGACCACCAGUGUCACAAGCUAGAAUUGUGCUUCCCAUAUUAUGAAUCAAUGAGAAUUGAGAAUGACUACAACAUGCCAACAAAAAGUAUGCAUUUUAUUCUGCAAGCAGCGGUUGUUUAGACCUGCCAUGUCACUCUUUGUGUAGCAUUCCAGUAAGUGUCUGCGUCUUGUCACUGUAAAAAAGUUGACAUAGUAGCUUUUAGUGAAAAAUACUCUAUUUCAUGAUAAUGGCUUGCCUUCUAUUCCCGUUUUGAAGCGGAAACUGUUGACUAACUUUAUUGCCUGUAUUGUCCACUAAGUAGGAAAAAGAAGUGGAGGAAGGAAAUUAACCGUGUGUGAUGUUCACUGUUUUUAUGGUUUAAGCAGUACUGUCUUGUGUGCAGUAUCAGUUUUUUUAUUUUUUUUAUUAACAACCUAAAGUGUGCAUUUACUGGCUCCUUUUGGCCAAAUAUCCAAGAUCUGUUGCUUAAUUUAAAAUUAGUUCCUGGUUAAUGUAUAGUAGUGAACCCAAACAAGUAAGGCCUGCAGUGCCUGGUUGGUGCUUGUAAUUUCUAGUUUCUGCUGAUUGCUACCAGUGGAAAUUCUCAAGACAAGUGUCAGACUGGGACCGAAUGGUCACCACAAGUUCGCAACCUUGUCCCCCCCAUUUAAAGGGAAACAUGUGUCUGCUACACAAAACUGUCCAGUCAUCCACAAUGAGAGUGUCACAUUGUUUUUAACAUUGUUUACCUUUGGUGUGUGCAAGUAUGCUUGAAGUAUUCUUGAAGUUACUUGCAUAGUUGUCUUUACUCAUACAGUUUAUUGUCUAAGGGAACAUUCAAAAUGUCUAUGCUGAUGAGAAUUACAUGUAUGUUUCUCAUUGCUCUCUUUAUUGCAUUUAUGUACCUUCUUGCGAAUUGUUACGUAGCUGUGACGUGCAUGUGUCCCUUUCAAACUGGUUUAAUAUAUCAGGAGUUAAAGGUGAAAAGUUCUUUCAUUUUUUUUUUCAUCUAAUAGUUUCAGAAGAACUAUGUCUCCUGCAAUUUAGGCGAUCAGUAAAGAUGAAUUUUUCAUGGUGCGUAAAAUUGCAACCAAUAAACCGAUUUUACCACAAGGUUCAUAACACUACCACCGUUGCAAAGGAUUUUGGUAAUAGUACCUCUAGUAGACUGAAGUGCAACGGUGGUAAGAAAGCACAGUUCUUUUUCUUUUUUUUUAGCCAUAACAAAUUGUCUUAGCUCUUAAGAUGAAAAAGUCCAGGAACGGAGAUAAAAAAAUUACUCAAUAGGAACAACUUGGAGACGCACCCCUCGACUUCCCCCAAUAAUUCCUUUCAAGGUUGCCUUGAAUCCAAGUAUGACGGGAAAGUGGGGAGGGUUACUGGCAUCAUGCUACAGCAGGGCUGGCACACAUGCACAUUUAAAAUAAGUUUGCACCAAAAGUAACAAGUCGUAUUCGAAACGAGCCACAUGUGCCUAAGGGUAGCAUUGCAACUCUUCAUGAAGAAAUUAAAACCAGCAAGCUCGGUGCAUGCUUCCAACAUUCUCUAGUGUUCUUUUACUUAAGUUUCUUUUACCCUGUUAUUUGCUUGACUGGCGAGGCAAACUUUGCAGUAGUUGGUGUAUAGGACAGGCUUUUUUGAGAGCCCAGUUUGCCAGGGUAGUACUAGUUACUGGAAAGAUUAGCUUCGUGGCACCUGUUGAAAUUGGUUUGUAGGGCUCCGACAGUUUCAUGCUUUGUCAUUGGAUGAACAUGGCCCCUUUGUAAAGUUGCAUACAAACUGUUUACCCAAUAAAUACAACGAGAUAGCCAGUGCAAACUUGGAAGAAUGUAUGUUACGGCUGAGUGGGAUGGCUAGUGCUUUUGUUCUUGGAGCAAACAUGUAACAUUUGCACAUCUGCAGCAUUUACACUUUGGCUUUUGCUUCAAGCGUGGGCUUCUUGACAAUGUGACAAUAUUCUGGAUGUGUGGGACAACUAGCUUGCAAAUUUUGCAAACUUUCAAAACAGCCACUUGUUGGUCUGUGAUGUCUUCCUUGUAUAUUUAACAAGAUCCAUGCUGGUACCAUGCUGUUCUCACAGGGCUCUCAUAUGGCCUACUUUGCAACACUUUCAUGAGAACUGCAGUACUCAAACUAUGCACUGGCAUUUGUUACCAUUGUCACCUCUGCUGCAUCUAGUGCAAGUGAAUUCCUCCUUAUGCAUAUUCUGGCCAUUAGUUAUAAGCUUAUCUUAAGGUAAGGACAAUAUUAUGCAUGAUGUUGCAAGAUUGACAUAUAUCAUUGUAACAUUACAUGUGCGGUAAGGUCAUGACGCAUUUAUUUAUCAAAUCAGUUUCUUGGAAAUUUGUGAGCAGGAUUCAAGAAAGGGAAAGUUGACAUCUACUGGUAAAUGCCACCAAGUUACAGAGGAAGCCCAAAUACAUUCCUGAGAAAGCGACAAGAAUUUGGCAUCUGUGUGAAAAUAGCACAGAGCUAUAAAGGAAGGCCGUACUUGUUCCUCAGAAAAAAAGUGAAGCUUCUGUUUUGAACAACCCAUGUGAGUUAUCGAACUUCAUGCCACAUUCAUGUGGAUGCCAUCAUUUCCUUUCAAAUAUUUAUGUGUGCUACUGGCCAUUUCUUAUAUUAUCUGCAUCACGGCAUUUCUUUUCAUUCUGCUGAGAUAUUGUGAUCUUAUUCUGUAGUGAAAGAGCAGUGAACCUUUCCUUGAUUAUCGUUUCUUGUCUUUGUUUUUAUAGUCUAUUUCAGUUGGUGGAAAAAAAAUAUGAUCAAAUGGCUUGACAUUGUAUAGGAGUCAUAGAAGCCAAGCUGACCUUCUCAGGCUUUAAGGGUCGUCACGAAUGGCUAUUAAAAACAAGCCUGAGGUGUUCUGAAAUGCAUGCAUCUCUGUCAUAUGCAGUUUUACAGACUUGUGAAGUGCGUUGUGUAGAAGUGUCUUGGUGUUGAACAUUGUGUGUCUUGUUGGGGAAGCCAACACCAGAACAAACGAAUGUGCAUUUCUGAUAAGUCUCUUGGGUUAUGGGUUGUGCUGGUGUACUGCUUUCUUUUUACUUCUGCAUUGGUAGAUUUCUGUCAGCGUAAGUGUUUCGUGAAAGCUGUUUUACAAGUGAAUCAAAU
rnacentral:lncRNA from 1 species